UUAGAGGAAGUAAAAGUCGUAACAAGGUUUCCGUAGGUGAACCUGCGGAAGGAUCAUUAUUGAAUGAACGUGAGCAGGGUUGUCGCUGGCCUCUCUCUUGGGGCAUGUGCACACCUUGUUCAUGGCCACCUUCACACCUCUGUGCACUUCUCAUGGGUUGGGUUGCGCCGUUGCACAAUGGCAAAGCCUGUCUCAUGUGUUUAUCAUACACACUUGUUUGUUAUAGAAUGUCACUCGUGCAUGAAUGCAUAUAAUACAACUUUCAGCAACGGAUCUCUUGGCUCUCGCAUCGAUGAAGAACGCAGCGAAAUGCGAUAAGUAAUGUGAAUUGCAGAAUUCAGUGAAUCAUCGAAUCUUUGAACGCACCUUGCGCUCCUUGGUAUUCCGAGGAGCAUGCCUGUUUGAGUGUCAUGGUCUUCUCAACCCUCUUGUCUUUUUUGAAUAAAAAGAGGCAGCUGGGCUUGGACUUGGAGGUKUUUGCCGGUGUUUAUUUAUUUAUUGAAUGAACGUGGGCUCCUCUGAAAUGCAUUAGCUUGAAUGUGACUUAGCAUGGUUCAACGUGAUAAUUGUCUGCGUUGCUUCAUCUUGGUCUUCAUCUUGUUCGAGCUUCUAACUGUCUGCAAGGACACUAUUAUCUGAACAUCUGACCUCAAAUCAGGUAGGACUACCCGCUGAACUUAAGCAUAUCAAUAA
rnacentral:rRNA from 1 species